UGGAUGAAGAAGGCCGAAAGGUUGUAAAGUUCUUUUGCUAGGGGAGAAUAAGUGAGGGAGGGAAUGCCCUCAUGAUGACAGUACCUAGCGAAUAAGCCCCGGCCAAUUACGUGCCAGCAGCCGCGGUAACACGUAGGGGGCGAGCGUUGUUCGGAAUUACUGGGCGUAAAGGGCAUGUAGGCGGCUUGGUAAGCCUGAUGUGAAAGACCGCAGCUUAACUGUAGGGAUGCGUUGGAAACUGGUUAGCUUGAGUUCCGGAGAGGGAACUGGAAUUCCUGGUGUAGCGGUGAAAUCUGUAGAUAUCAGGAGGAACACC
rnacentral:rRNA from 1 species